UUCCAGUUGACGAGUCCCAAUUAGGACGAAACGUGCGUCCUGGAU
rnacentral:hammerhead_ribozyme from 1 species